rnacentral:rRNA from 1 species
UACGUAGGGGGCAAGCGUUGUCCGGAUUUAUUGGGCGUAAAGCGCGUGUAGGUGGCCAAGUAGGUCCGCUGUGAAACUUGAGGCUCAACCUCAAGCUGUCGGUGGAAACCCCUUGGCUAGAGUCCGGAAGAGGAGAGUGGAAUUCCUGGUGUAGCGGUGAAAUGCGCAGAUAUCAGGAAGAACACCAAUGGCGAAGGCAGCUUUCUGGGACGGUACUGACACUGAGACGCGAAAGCGUGGGGAGCGAACAGG